rnacentral:rRNA from 1 species
CACUAGCGUAUAUUAAAGUUGUUGCGGUUAAAAAGCUCGUAGUUGGAUUUCUGUUGAGGGAGGUCGGUCCGCACUAUGUGCGUGCGUCUGAUUCUGCCUCGGCAUCCUCUCGAAUACCGGUCUGCGCUUUAUUGCGUGGGUCGGACUUCGGGACUUUUACUUUGAGGAAAUUAGAGUGUUCACGGCAGGCAAGCGCCUUGAAUAUAUUAGCAUGGAAUAAUGAUAUAGGAUCUUGGUCCUAUUUUGUUGGUUUCUAGGGCUAAGAUAAUGAUUAAUAGGGACAAUUGGGGGCAUUCGUAUUAACGCGUCAGAGGUGGAAUUCUUGGAUUGCGUUACGACGAACUACUGCGAAAGCAUUUGCCAAGGAUGUUUUCAUUGA